rnacentral:rRNA from 1 species
GAUCAUGGCUCAGGAUGAACGCUGGCGGCGUGCUUAACACAUGCAAGUCGAGCGAAGCAAUUUAAACGAGACUUCGGUGGAUUUUAAAUUGACUGAGCGGCGGCGGGUGAGUAACGCGUGGAUAACCCGCCUCACACAGGGGGAUAACAGUUAGAAAUGACUGCUAAUACCGCAUAAGCGCACGGUACCGCAUGGUACAGUGUGAAAAACUCCGGUGGUGUGAGAUGGAUCCGCGU